rnacentral:rRNA from 1 species
UACAGAGGGUGCAAGCGUUACUCGGAAUUACUGGGCAUAAAGCGUGCGUAGGUGGUUCUUUAAGUCAGGUGUGAAAUCCCUGGGCUCAACUUGGGAACUGCAUUUGAUACUGGAGAGCUAGAGUGUGGUAGAGGGUGGUGGAAUUCCCGGUGUAGCGGUGAAAUGCGUAGAUAUCGGGAGGAACAUCAGUGGCGAAGGCGGCCACCUGGACCAACACUGACACUGAGGCACAAAAGCGUGGGUAGCAAACAGG